rnacentral:rRNA from 1 species
UACGUAGGGUGCAAGCGUUAAUCGGAAUUACUGGGCGUAAAGCGUGCGCAGGCGGUUUUGUAAGUCUGUCGUGAAAUCCCCGGGCUUAACCUGGGAAUUGCGAUGGAGACUGCAAGGCUAGAAUCUGGCAGAGGGGGGUAGAAUUCCCGGUGUAGUGGUGAAAUGCGUAGAGAUCGGGAGGAACACCUGUGGCGAAGGCGGUCUGCUGGGCCGUUGCUGACGCUGAGGCGCGACAGCGUGGGGAGCAAACAGG